GAUGAACGCUGACAGAAUGCUUAACACAUGCAAGUCUACUUGAACUUCGGUUUGGGUGGCGGACGGGUGAGUAACGCGGAAAGAACUUGCCUCACAGUUAGGGACAACAUUUGGAAACGAAUGCUAAUACCUGAUAUUAUGAUUUUAGGGCAUCCUAAGAUUGUGAAAGCUAUAUGCGCUGUGAGAGAGCUUUGCGUCCCAUUAGCAAGUUGGAGAGGUAACGGCUCACCAAGGCGAUGAUGGGUAGCCGGCCUGAGAGGGUGAACGGCCACAAGGGGACUGAUACACGGCCCUUACUCCUACGGGAGGCAGCAGUGGGGAAUAUUGGACAAUGGACCAAAAGUCUGAUCCAGCAAUUCUGUGUGCACGAUGACGUUUUUCGGAAUGUAAAGUGCUUUCAGAUGGGAAGAAAAAAUGACGGUACCAACAGAAGAAGUGACGGCUAAAUACGUGCCAGCAGCCGCUGUAACAC
rnacentral:rRNA from 1 species